rnacentral:miRNA from 1 species
UUUAAGCACAGUGCUGGUCU